AUGUCCAUCGUAGCACCGCGAUGGAAUUUGCUGGUGGUUGCAGUUGUGGGUAUCUCAGGGAAUGCAAGGCACUUCCAGAGAGAAAACCCCUCUCUUUUCUUAAUGCAAGUAAGGUCAAAUUGUUCUCUUCGAUUUUAUACCUACUUUCUCGAUCCAUCUCUUUUUGGCCACACGGUGUGUAUCACUGGAAACAGAUCAAAACACCAUUCUUUUCUUAAUGCAAGGCGACGGUUGGAAAGUGUACAGACGUUUUGUCAAUCUUUCUUGACAGGAUAUAUGUAUGAUCAGAUGGUCCGUUGCCAAAGCGAUGCAAUAAUAGAGCAGAGCAGGACGGGUGUUUCAGACAAGCCCCCUUAUAUUAGUGCAUCCAAUAGUUUGCUUUCAAGCAAUGUGGGCAUCUUUAACCGAGCUCUGGUCACCAGGUGGGCUGUGACAAACAUGUCUCGGGUUGUCGAAUGUCUAGAUCCACCACAAUUAUCUUGUUAA
rnacentral:rRNA from 1 species